CGCCGUCGUUCCCUGCCGCCACGCUCCUCCAGCGCCAGCUGCUUCUAGACGAUUGGCCACUGACGAUCGGGCAGCAGAGCCUCUUCUCCCCCGCGCACUCUCUCUCUCCCUGAUCUCUUUCCUUUUUCUUUUUCUUUCUUUCUUCCUUAAUGCCAUUAAGUCUCUAUACUUUUCUUCUUUACCAUUUAGUCCCUCAACUUUAUUAAUUACUAACAAUUUCACCCUGUAAAAUUUAUAUUUAAUCCUCUAACUUUUCUUUAGUUUUUCAAUUAAGCCCCUAAUACUUAAUUUGAGCCAAAUUAAAAUUGUUGAAAAUAGAGAAUUACUUAUUUACCCUUACUUUUUUAACCGAUGAUCGCGCAACAGAUCCUUUUCUCCCCCGUGCACUCUCUCUCUCCCCGAUCUCCUUCUCUUUUCUUUUUUUUUUCUUUCUUCCUUAAUGCCAUUAAGUCUCCAAACUUUUAUUAUUUACCAUUUAGUCCCUCAACUUUAUUAAUUACUAAUAAUUUCACCCUGUAAAAUUUCUGUUUAAUC
rnacentral:lncRNA from 1 species